GAUUUGACCUCAGAUCAGGUAGGAUCACCGCCUGAACUUAAGCAUAUCAAUAAGGCGAGGAACAGAAACCAACAGGGAUUCCCCCAGUAGUGGCGAACGAAGUGGGAAAAGCUCAAGUUUGAAAUCUGGUGGUCUACUGCCAGAGUUGUAAGCUGA
rnacentral:rRNA from 1 species